CCUUCGGUUGUAAGUUCUUUCGCGCAAGAACAAGGAAAAGAAUGUGAAUAACAUUUUGACUUGAGGGUACUGCGUAAAGAAGCACCGGCUAACUCCGUGC
rnacentral:rRNA from 1 species